GAGGAAAAGCUAGUAGUUAAUACCUGCUAACCGUGACGUUAACAACAGAAGAAGCACCGGCUAACUCCGUGCCAGCAGCCGCGGUAAUACGGAGGGUGCGAGCGUUAAUCGGAAUUACUGGGCGUAAAGCGCACGCAGGCGGUUUGUUAAGCUAGUGAAAGCCCCGGGCUCAACCUGGGAUGGUCAUUGCCUAGAACUGGCAGACUAGAGUCUUGGAGAGGGGAGUGGAAUUCCAGGUGUAGCGGUGAAAUGCGUAGAUAUCUGGAGGAACAUCAGUGGCGAAGGCGACUCUCUGGCCAAAGACUGACGCUCAUGUGCGAAAGUGUGGGUAGCGAACAGGAUUAGAUACCCUGGUAGUCCACACCGUAAACGCUGUCUACUAGCUGUUGCCUGUGGCUUUAAGCCGUGAGUAGCGAAGCUAACGCGCUAAGUAGACCGCCUGGGGA
rnacentral:rRNA from 1 species